CGUGUAUUAGUGUAUAGUAAAUAUAUCAUCAUAGAAUAUACUACACAGUAAAAUUUGUAAUGAAUUUUAUAUUUUAAAAUCAUAUUUACUUGCCUACUUUGAUUGUAUGUGAUCGUCUUUUAUUUCUGAGCGACUUUACAUUCGAUGCCUGCGACUGUCUUCAUAGGUGAUAGUAUUGAAAGCAAAGGCUAACGAUUUCAGUUGUCAAACAGCCGACACGAACAAUUCAAAUCGAAAAAUAUCCCCCUUCAAAUUGCUUUCUUCGCUGUAAAACUUCGCCAGCGUAUAGAAUAAACACCCAUCUUCGAACAUACAAAGCAAUAUUAACACGUCCUAUAAUUUUUGCAAUGGAUUUUUAGCGAAAUGUUUCGAGACUAAAAUUCUAUGGAACUUAGAAAGCCCGAUAAUUACUACGGCGCCUGCUUGGCCACCUAGCCUCCUUUACCGUUUGGAUUGUCAGGGGGGGGGGAUCGAAUAAAAAACACCUAUUUCCGGCAACAGCCAGCCAAUUCAACGCCGCGAUACCGACUGUUUACAAUAUUUGAAAUCUGAUAUUGUAAUUUAUCAACAACAAAACUCUUUCGAUCGUAUACAGCAACAACAGGCAGCAAAUCAAUGCCGCGAUAGCGACGGUUUACUAUAUUUGAAAUCUGAUAUUGUAAUUUGCAAAAGCUCCCUUUUCUAUCUUAUACUAUACGAUCGAUCGAUCGAAAGAGUUUUGUUGUUGAUAAAUUACAAUAUCAGAUUUCAAAUAUUGUAAACAGUCGGUAUCGCGGCGUCGAGAUUGGCUAGCUGUUGCCCGAAAUAGGUGUUUUUUAUUCGACCCCCCCUGACAAUCCAAACGGUAAAGGAGGCUAGGUGGCCAAGCAGGCGCCGUAGUAAUUAUCGGGCUUUCUAAGUUCCAUAGAAUUUUAGUCUCGAAACAUUUCGCUAAAAAUCCAUUGCAAAAAUUAUAGGACGUGUUAAUAUUGCUUUGUAUGUUCGAAGAUGGGUGUUUAUUCUAUACGCUGGCGAAGUUUUACAGCGAAGAAAGCAAUUUGAAGGGGGAUAUUUUUCGAUUUGAAUUGUUCGUGUCGGCUGUUUGAGAACUGAAAUCGUUAGCCUUUGCUUUCAAUACUAUCACCUAUGA